rnacentral:rRNA from 1 species
AUUGAACGCUGGCGGCAUGCCUAACACAUGCAAGUCGAGCGGAUGAAUGUAGCUUGCUCCUGGAUUCAGCGGCGGACGAGUGAGUAAUGCCUAGGAAUCUGCCUGGUAGUGGGGGAUAACGUCCGGAAACGGGCGCUAAUACCGCAUACGUCCUGAUGGAGAAAGUGGGGGAUCUUCGGACCUCACGCUAUCAUAUGAGCCUAGGUCGGAUUAGCUAGUUGGUGGGGUAAAGGCCUACCAAGGCGACGAUCCGUAACUGGUCUGAGAGGAUGAUCAGUCACACUGGAACUGAGACACGGUCCAGACUCCUACGGGAGGCAGCAGUGGGGAAUAUUGGACAAUGGGCGAAAGCCUGAUCCAGCAAUGCCGCGUGUGUGAAGAAGGUCUUCGGAUUGUAAAGCACUUUAAGUUGGGAGGAAGGGCAGUAAGUUAAUACCUUGCUGUUUUGACGUUACCAACAGAAUAAGCAACGGCUAACUUCGUG